UACGGGGGGAGCAAGCGUUGUUCGGAUUUACUGGGCGUAAAGGGCGCGUAGGCGGUCAGCACAAGUCAGUUGUGAAAUCUCCGGGCUUAACUCGGAAAGGUCAACUGAUACUGUGCGACUAGAGUGCAGAAGGGGCAACUGGAAUUCUCGGUGUAGCGGUGAAAUGCGUAGAUAUCGAGAGGAACACCGAUGGCGAAGGCAGGUCACUGGGCCGCAACUGACGCUGAGGAGCGAAAGCAUGGGGAGCGAACAGG
rnacentral:rRNA from 1 species